UACGAAGGGGGCUAGCGUUGCUCGGAAUCACUGGGCGUAAAGCGCACGUAGGCGGAUUGUUAAGUCGGGGGUGAAAUCCUGGAGCUCAACUCCAGAACUGCCUUCGAUACUGACGAUCUCGAGUCCGGGAGAGGUGAGUGGAAUUGCGAGUGUAGAGGUGAAAUUCGUAGAUAUUCGCAAGAACACCAGUGGCGAAGGCGGCUCACUGGCCCGGAACUGACGCUGAGACGCGAAAGCGUGGGGAGCGAACCGG
rnacentral:rRNA from 1 species